rnacentral:snoRNA from 1 species
CUGCAGUUUUUUGUGGGGCCUGGUUUGCAGUGGCUACAGAAAGCAGCCUUCUUGAUGAUGUGUACAGACUGUAAAUUAAUGGAGGUCUGUGAGGGACCAUAGAGACAGCU